rnacentral:rRNA from 1 species
CGAUUUGCGGCAGCUACACAUGCAGUCGAGCGGUAGCACAGAGAGCUUGCUCUCGGGUGACGAGCGGCGGACGGGUGAGUAAUGUCUGGGAAACUGCCUGAUGGAGGGGGAUAACUACUGGAAACGGUAGCUAAUACCGCAUAAUGUCGCAAGACCAAAGUGGGGGACCUUCGGGCCUCAUGCCAUCAGAUGUGCCCAGAUGGGAUUAGCUAGUAGGUGGGGUAACGGCUCACCUAGGCGACGAUCCCUAGCUGGUCUGAGAGGAUGACCAGCCACACUGGAACUGAGACACGGUCCAGACUCCUACGGGAGGCAGCAGUGGGGAAUAUUGCACAAUGGGCGCAAGCCUGAUGCAGCCAUGCCGCGUGUGUGAAGAAGGCCUUCGGGUUGUAAAGCACUUUCAGCGGGGAGGAAGGCGUUGAGGUUAAUAACCUUGGCGAUUGACGUUACCCGCAGAAGAAGCACCGGCUAACUCCGUGCCAGCAGCCGCGGUAAUACGGAGGGUGCAAGCGUUAAUCGGAAUUACUGGGCGUAAAGCGCACGCAGGCGGUCUGUCAAGUCGGAUGUGAAAUCCCCGGGCUCAACCUGGGAACUGCAUUCGAAACUGGCAGGCUAGAGUCUUGUAGAGGGGGGUAGAAUUCCAGGUGUAGCGGUGAAAUGCGUAGAGAUCUGGAGGAAUACCGGUGGCGAAGGCGGCCCCCUGGACAAAGACUGACGCUCAGGUGCGAAAGCGUGGGGAGCAAACAGGAUUAGAUACCCUGGUAGUCCACGCCGUAAACGAUGUCGAUUUGGAGGUUGUGCCCUUGAGGCGUGGCUUCCGGAGCUAACGCGUUAAAUCGACCGCCUGGGGAGUACGGCCGCAAGGUUAAAACUCAAAUGAAUUGACGGGGGCCCGCACAAGCGGUGGAGCAUGUGGUUUAAUUCGAUGCAACGCGAAGAACCUUACCUGGUCUUGACAUCCACAGAACUUUCCAGAGAUGGAUUGGUGCCUUCGGGAACUGUGAGACAGGUGCUGCAUGGCUGUCGUCAGCUCGUGUUGUGAAAUGUUGGGUUAAGUCCCGCAACGAGCGCAACCCUUUAUCCUUUGUUGCCAGCGGUCCGGCCGGGAACUCAAAGGAGACUGCCAGUGAUAAACUGGAAGGAAGGGGGGGAUGACGUCAAGUCAUCAUGGCCCUUACGACCAGGGUUACCACCUGGUUAAAUGGCCUUUACAAAAGAAACCGACCUCCCGGAAGCAAGCGGACCUCUAAAAGAUUUCCUAAUCCGGAUGGGAAUUUGCAACCCGACCCUCCUGAAAGGGGAAUCCCGGGAAUUUGGGAAUCAAAGG